rnacentral:rRNA from 1 species
UACGUAGGGUGCAAGCGUUGUCCGGAUUUAUUGGGCGUAAAGCGCUCGCAGGUGGUUCGUCGCGUCGUGCGUGAAAGACCCCGGCUCAACUGGGGGAGGUCGUGCGAUACGGGCGAACUGGAGGCCAGUAGGGGGAUGCGGAAUUCCGGGUGUAGUGGUGGAAUGCGUAGAGAUCCGGAGGAACACCAGCGGCGAAGGCGGCAUCCUGGACUGGUCCUGACACUCAUGAGCGAAAGCGUGGGGAGCGAUCCGG